ACGGAGGGUGCAAGCGUUAUCCGGAAUUACUGGGUUUAAAGGGUGCGUAGGUGGCGCUGUAAGUCAGUGGUGAAAGGUUCCGGCUUAACCGGAGAAUGGCCUUUGAUACUGCAGUGCUAGGAUUGGGUUGAGGUUGGCGGAAUGUGACAUGUAGCGGUGAAAUGCAUAGAUAUGUCAUAGAACACCGAUUGCGAAGGCAGCUGACUGGACCUUGAUUGACACUGAGGCACGAAAGCGUGGGGAGCGAACAGG
rnacentral:rRNA from 1 species